AUAUUGUUUUUCAAAUGUCUACCUAUCCUUGAGUCACGGUCGAAUAACUCAAUAAGAAAUACGGAUAUCAAUCUAAAAUUUGGCACUGGUUUAGUAGUUCUUUGCCCGCGUCUAUUUUCGAUAAAUAAAAUUUAGAAUCAAUUUUGUUUUCAUUUAAUUUAAAUUUGGAAUUGAAAGAAAAUAACCGAAAGACGAGUGAAGGAAGAGCAAUAUAAAUAUUUUUAAUAGAAUAAAUUUAAUAUCCGUGAUUACGUAAAAUUUUGACGGGUCAAUCCUCAGGCGGAAAUCGAAUCACGCCGAGAAGCGGAAAGUAUCGAUUCCCCGUCGCGAGUGUGCACGUGACCAUAAAAGGUGGAUUUUAACAUGUACAUACUAAAAAUGAAAGUUUUAUAAUAAAAGUACAUAAAGAAUGUAAUAUAGUGAAUGCAAAACAUCGUGAAACUUCGAGACAGUUUCUAUCACCACCAAUUUGCAGUGGAGCACCUUGAUAUUAAUUCGACAUAAAUGAUAAAGAUAAUAACGACGUGUGUGUUCUAGUAGCGCUGUAUUGCAUACAAAGGUACUAAAUUUAUGAUAAACUAUUGUUUUUUUUUUUUUUCUAGAAAAUAACUGCGCAGUUUAUUGCCGACACUUCUCCGCAGAAACUGCAUUCUGAAACGGUAGUAGAUUCUCUUUUAAAUAGUUAGAAGUGAAAAAAUAAAUAGAUAUUUGAUUUGUAAAAAGACGAUUAGAAAGUGCCUUUAAAAUCUACUUUAUUUGAGUAA